GCGCAGCAGUCGCGAAACUUCACAAUGUGCGAAAGCACGAUGAGGGAAUCCCAAGUGCUUGCACGUAAGUGUAAGCUGUUUCUCUGUCUAAAACGCAGAGAGAGUAAGGGCUGGGUAAGACGGGUGCCAGCCGCCGCGGUAAUACCUGCAGCUCGAGUGGUGACCGUUAUUAUUGGGCCUAAAACGUCCGUAGCCGGUUUAAUAAAUGCCUGGGUAAAUCGGACCGCUUAACGGUUCGAAUUCCGGGUAGACUGUUAAACUUGAGACCGGGAGAAGUUAGAGGUACUCCUGGGGUAGAGGUGAAAUUCUGUAAUCCUAGGGGGACCACCAGUGGCGAAGGCGUCUAACUAGAACGGGUCUGACGGUGAGGGACGAAGCCCUGGGGCGCAAACGGGGAUUAGAUACCCGUGUAGU
rnacentral:rRNA from 1 species